UAAAGUUCCUUGUCAAUUCUCGAACCUUCAAAACUUUUCUUCUUCUUCUGAAACUCGAUUCUUACAGCUUCCGUUUCUUUAAUGGGUCGUCGUCGUAUUAUUCUCUCUGCCUUAGUUGCCACACUUCUCACUCUCUCUUUCUUCUCAGAAAUGGAGUCGGCCUCGUUCAAGAUAGUGAACAAGUGCCGCUACACAAUCUGGCCGGGAGUUCUCUCCGGCGCCAACACCGAGCCGCUCUCCCCCACCGGCUUCGUUCUCAAAAGCGGCAAGUCCCGGACUUUAUCCGUACCCAAAUCAUGGUCCGGUCGGAUGUGGGCCCGGACCCUCUGCUCCGGAACCUCCCCCGGAAACUUCUCCUGCCUCACCGCCGACUGCGGCUCCGGGAAGAUCGAGUGCGCGGGGAGCGGCGCCAAGCCGCCGGCUACUCUAGCCGAGUUCACUCUCAACGGCGCCGACGGCUUGGACUUUUAUGACGUCAGCCUCGUCGACGGCUACAACCUUCCCGUGCUGGUGCUGCCCCGCGGCGGGACGAGAGGCGGGUGCAGCCCCACGGGGUGCCUCGUGGACUUGAACGGCGCGUGUCCCAAGGCCCUGAGGGUGGCGCGUGAGGGAAAGGGCGGGGGAGUCGUGGCGUGCAGGAGCGCGUGCGAGGCGUUUGGGGAACCGCAGUUCUGCUGUAGCGAGGCGUACGCGACGCCGGAGACGUGUGCGCCUUCGGUGUUCUCGGAGUAUUUCAAACAUGUUUGCCCACGGGCGUAUAGCUACGCGUAUGACGACAAGACGAGUACGUAUACGUGUGCGUCGGCUGACUACAUUAUUAUUUUCUGCCCUCUGCCCUAUACCAGUCAAAAGGUGUUGGGAGCACGAAAAGAUGGGGCGCCGUUACCACUGGUUAACAAGACAAUGAUGCACUUAUAACUUACAAGGAGCCAAUAAUAUGCUACCUGCAUUUCUUCCUCAUUUCUAGCUCGGGAUGCCUUAAGUUGGUCAUGUCUUUCUCUCUUCCUGCCACUUUUUUAAGCUUUCUGAUUAACAUUUUCUCUGGCAUUACGGUUCUGGAACAUCAUACUACAACCCCAGCGGAAUAGCAUGCAGAGCCUAGUUAUCAUGGGGAAAUUGAGGCCGGCUGGGAAACCUACGGAUCCCUCUUCUAAGGAUGAGGUCCAGGUCGAAGAUCUUACGAACCUAGAGAUUGAGCUGCAUAACCAUCGUGUUGAGACCACAGCUUAGCUCAAGGCAUUGUAGGGAGCUCUCGAAGCUUCGAUGGCUGCUCAGUUGAAGGAAUUUCAAGCCAUGAUGUUGGAUAGCUUUCAGCGUCAGUUUACUCAGCUUGAGGCUAGGAAGGUUGAUUAUGUGACUAUGAGCGCAUCACAACCAGAUCCACCGUUCUCAGAAGUUUUGACAACAGAGAAAGGCUCGGCGUCGUUGACGGUGGCUAGGGCUGAGGGUAUGGUCACUACUCUUCCUUUGCCUGUUUCGGGUACUAAUUUGUUGGAUCAUGCUUGUUCUGAGAUGCACAAUACUGCUGUAAUGUUUGAUACCCGUCAAUCGAUGGCUCAUGCCUCUGGUGCUAUUGGAUCUCAACCAAUGGUUGUUCAUGGCGAUGGUUUACCUAAUUUUUUGAUGUCGUUGGGUAAUAGCAUGUAUGUCCCUAUUGUGAGUGGGUUGCCUGUUGUGAGUGGUUCUAACUUUGUGGGUGGGGGUGAUUCUCAUAUGGCGUUGCAAUUUGGCCCGUAUACUAUGUCUAUGUUGCCUUAUUAUGGAGCUCCAUCAUAUUAUCAGCCACCCCCACAACCUCGACCAUAAUUUGUCGCUUCAAAGCCUAAUACAUCUUCUUUCAGACCAUCUCCAGUGUGUGUUGCACAAUCCACUACACAAACCAAAACAUUACCCCCCAUACCACAAUAUACCACUGCUACCACCACUACUACACAUAUCUCUAAUCCCUCAUAACCUACAGGCACUUUUGUUAAUUCUCACUUUCAGCAACUAUCACCAACACAAGGGUUAUAUAUUCCACCAUACA